rnacentral:rRNA from 1 species
GAUGAACGCUGGCGGCGUGCCUAACACAUGCAAGUCGAACGAGGCAAAUAAGUUGAAGUUUUCGGAUGGAUUCUUAUUUACCGAGUGGCGGACGGGUGAGUAACGCGUGGGUAACCUGCCUCAUACAGGGGGAUAACGGUUAGAAAUGACUGCUAAUACCGCAUAAGCGCACAGUACCGCAUGGUACGGUGUGAAAAACUCCGGUGGUAUGAGAUGGACCCGCGUCUGAUUAGCUAGUUGGUGAGGUAACGGCCCACCAAGGCGACGAUCAGUAGCCGACCUGAGAGGGUGACCGGCCACAUUGGGACUGAGACACGGCCCAGACUCCUACGGGAGGCAGCAGUGGGGGAUAUUGCACAAUGGAGGAAACUCUGAUGCAGCGACGCCGCGUGAGUGAAGAAGUAUUUCGGUAUGUAAAGCUCUAUCAGCAGGGAAGAAAAUGACGGUACCUGACUAAGAAGCCCCGGCUAACUACGUGCCAGCAGCCGCGGUAAUACGUAGGGGGCAAGCGUUAUCCGGAUUUACUGGGUGUAAAGGGAGCGUAGACGGCGACGCAAGUCUGAAGUGAAAUACCCGGGCUCAACCUGGGAACUGCUUUGGAAACUGUGUUGCUAGAGUGCUGGAGAGGUAAGCGGAAUUCCUAGUGUAGCGGUGAAAUGCGUAGAUAUUAGGAAGAACACCAGUGGCGAAGGCGGCUUACUGGACAGUAACUGACGUUGAGGCUCGAAAGCGUGGGGAGCAAACAGG